CUACGUGCGGCAGCAGUGGGGAAUAUUGGACAAUGGGCGAAAGCCUGAUCCAGCCAUGCCGCGUGUGUGAAGAAGGCCUUCGGGUUGUAAAGCACUUUCAGUGGGGAAGAAAGCCUUGGGGCUAAUACCCUCGAGGAAGGACAUCACCCACAGAAGAAGCACCGGCUAACUCCGUGCCAGCAGCCGCGGUAAUACGGAGGGUGCGAGCGUUAAUCGGAAUUACUGGGCGUAAAGCGCGCGUAGGCGGUCUGAUAAGCCGGUUGUGAAAGCCCCGGGCUCAACCUGGGAACGGCAUCCGGAACUGUCAGGCUAGAGUGCAGGAGAGGAAGGUAGAAUUCCCGGUGUAGCGGUGAAAUGCGUAGAGAUCGGGAGGAAUACCAGUGGCGAAGGCGGCCUUCUGGACUGACACUGACGCUGAGGUGCGAAAGCGUGGGUAGCAAACAGGAUUAGAUACCCCAGUAGUC
rnacentral:rRNA from 1 species